rnacentral:rRNA from 1 species
CUGGCAGUCAUUCACUGUCCGAGUUGUAAAUUGAAGAGAGUGUCAUCCACGCUGGACCAUGUCUAAAUUGUAAUGAUCCACAGUCCUUUGAUGGAGUAUCAGAGAGGGUAAUAAUCCCGUCUUUAACGUGGACUCCCAGUGUUUAUGUGAUGCACUCUCUCAGAGUCGAGUAGUUUGGGAAUGCUGCUCUAAUGGGAGGUAAACUCCUUCUAAAGCUAAAUAUUGGCGAGAGACCGAUAGCGAACAAGUACCGUGAGGGAAAGAUGAAAAGAACUCUGAAAAGAGAGUCAAACAGAACGUGAAAUUGCUGAAAGGGAAGCGUUUGGAGUCAGAUGCGUCUUCAUGGAAUAACGACUCGGUUUACACUUGAGGUCAGUGACUUGAAGAUGGGCCAGCACUCACGUAGACCAUUGAAAAAGGGGUCAUGGAAUGUAGCUCGAUUUAUUGAGUGAUUAUAGCCUUGAUUCAUAUACAAUGUGUGAUAUGUGAGAUAGACAGCACGACUUUCUGAGUCA